CCAUUCAAAUUACGAUCUACAACGGAACUUUGCGACGAAAUCACCGUGCAAUUACGGUAAACACGCCAAACAUUCGAGCUAAGUACUGACUCUGAAGUUUUUCUGAAUGGCGAAAGAAAUGCGCUUGAAAUCGUCAGUGUCAUCGGGUUAUCAAGUCUGUGUCCGUCAGUGUUUAAGCCGGCUUAAACACCGUGCGAGUUGUUAGUCAUGUUAGUUGAGAAAGAUGCGCACAUUUUACACGAUUCUCGUGCUCGUGAUCCUCUCCGCGAGCCUCGGCGAGUGUUGGUCCUUCUCGAACGUGGCGAAAUCUAUCGACAAAUUGCUACGGCCACAAAACAACACCUCGCAAGUUUCAAACUCUAAGGAGAAUGACGGCGCUACGUCGACGGCAUCCCCGGAAAUCACGGUAGAAGGCAGGAUAAUAUUCGUACCACGAAGGAACAUAGUCUCCUGUGCACCGGGUCAGCAAGUCGAUCGGCGUGGCAAGUGUAGGACAGUGUGGUGAAACUCGACAAAUAAUACGCACAAGAACCUUUAUAGAUAGUCGAACCACUCCUGACCAUGAAAGAAGACAUCCCCGGAAGGAAACAAGAGGAUUAACAGGAUUAAGAAAUAAGAAUAUUAUUCUAAUCAAAAAUAAUUAAUGCGACUUUAUGAAGAGUUAAUUGUACCUAAUUAAUAUGUGUAAGAUAUAUGUAAGUUAAUGUACAGUUCAUCAAAUCAAUCGGCAAUCAUGAAUUGCGUUCAAAAUGCAAUUAAGAUGUAAAGACUACGAACUAAAUUAUCUUCCCGCACAUAUAUUUAUCCCCACAAACGCAAGAAAUCGGUUAGGAUUUUCUAUUAUAGUGUGCAAUAAUUAAAACCGAAGUAAGAGAAUAUAUUAUAGAGUAUUAAAUUUUUAUCGAUAUACUUAAUGUUAAAGAACAAAUAGAGUAUUUUAUCGUCCGUAAAAUAAAUCGAAUUAAAUAUA